rnacentral:rRNA from 1 species
AGAGUUUGAUCAUGGCUCAGAGCGAACGCUGGCGGCAGGCCUAACACAUGCAAGUCGAGCGCCCAGCAAUGGGAGCGGCAGACGGGAGAGUAACACGUGGGAACGUACCCUUCAGUUCGGAACAACCCAGGGAAACUUGGGCUAAUACCGAAUACGUCCGUAAGGAGAAAGAUUUAUCGCUGAAGGAUCGGCCCGCGUCUGAUUAGCUAGUUGGUGAGGUAACGGCUCACCAAGGCGACGAUCAGUAGCUGGUCUGAGAGGAUGAUCAGCCUCACUGGGACUGAGACACGGCCCAGACUCCUACGGGAGGCAGCAGUGGGGAAUAUUGGACAAUGGGCGCAAGCCUGAUCCAGCCAUGCCGCGUGGAUGAUGAAGGCCCUAGGGUUGUAAAGUCCUUUCGACGGGGAAGAUAAUGACGGUACCCGUAGAAGAAGCCCCGGCUAACUUCGUGCCAGCAGCCGCGGUA